CGGGAAAAGAAACAUUUCCGGGCGCUGGAGGAGCACUGACAAAAAAAGAAAUCGGACGCAAAAGAAACCUCCCCAGAAUUUGGGCCACUGUGGGAGUCGUGCGAGACGGACUUCCCAUCUGGGAAGGGCUGCCUACGGACACCAAAAUUGGACAUGUGUAGAUGUAAACGGGCUGGAGAAUCGAGGGAUGCAAACUCAGACAAUGGUUUGCUGUAUCUUUCCUCACUCCAAUCCCAAAGGGACAUCGGCUUGUCUACUGUAAGCGGGCUGGCAACCAGAGGCCCUCCAGCCUGGAGCAGCCAGGAGACUACUAACAGAACCAGAGGAAAUGAAGGCCAGAGAACCCCGGGAAGUCCAAAUGGGUCGAAGGAGAAGCUCCAGAAAUGGAUGGAAUUACGUUUUUUCACACUAAACUGAUUGUUGCCCUGCUGUGGUCCUGGAGAAGUCUCACUUUCCUCCUGGUGUCACACAUUUGUAAGAUGGGGCUGUGAGAGGAUUGGCCCACUGUGGGUCUCCCA